rnacentral:rRNA from 1 species
GACGAACGCUGGCGGCGUGCUUAACACAUGCAAGUCGAACGGAGUGGCGAACGGGUGAGUAACGCGUAAUCAACCUGCCCUUCAGAGGGGGACAACAGUUGGAAACGACUGCUAAUACCGCAUACGGAAGGAGGGGAUGGCGUCGGAUUAGCUAGUUGGAGGGGGAACGGGCCACCAAGGCGAUGAUCAGUAGCCGGGCUGAGAGGAAGAACCGCCAAAAGGGGACUGGAACACGGCCCAGGCUCCUACCGGGGGGAGGAGUGGGGAAACUUCCGCAAAGGGGGAAAGUCUGACGGAGCAAAGCCGGGUGGGUGAUGACGGGCUUCGGGUUGGAAAGGUCUGUUAAGCGGGACGCGGUACCGGAAUAGAAAGCCACGGCUAACUACGUGCCAGCAGCCGCGGUAAUAC